rnacentral:rRNA from 1 species
UCCCCUAGUAACGGCGAGUGAAGCGGGAAGAGCUCAAAUUUGAAAUCUGGUAGCCUUCGGCUGCCCGAGUUGUAAUCUAGAGAAGUGUUUUCCGCGCCGGCCCAUGUACAAGUCCCUUGGAACAGGGCGUCAUAGAGGGUGAGAAUCCCGUCCUUGACAUGGACCCCCGGUGCUUUGUGAUACACUUUCAACGAGUCGAGUUGUUUGGGAAUGCAGCUCAAAAUGGGUGGUGAAUUCCAUCUAAAGCUAAAUAUUGGCGAGAGACCGAUAGCGAACAAGUACCGUGAGGGAAAGAUGAAAAGCACUUUGGAAAGAGAGUUAAACAGUACGUGAAAUUGUUGAAAGGGAAACGAUUGAAGUCAGUCAUGCUCUUUGGAUUCAGCCGUUCUGCGGUGUAUUUCCAUUGAGUGGGGUCAACAUCAGUUUUGAUCGCUGGAUAAAGGCACUAGGAAGGUAGCACUCUCGGGUGAACUUAUAGCCUAGCGUCAUAUACAGUGAUUGGGACUGAGGAACGCAGCAUGCCUUUAUGGCCGGGAUUCGUCCACGUACAUGCUUAGGAUGUUGACAUAAUG